rnacentral:rRNA from 1 species
GACGAACGCUGGCGGCGUGCUUAACACAUGCAAGUCGAACGGAAAGUCCCUGCUUUUGUGGGGUGCUCGAGUUGCGAACGGGUGAGUAACACUUGAGUAACCUGCCCUUGACUUUGGGAUAACUUCAUGAAACUUGGUCUAAUACCGGAUAGGAGCUCCUGCUUCAUGGUGGGGGUUGGAAAGUUUCGGCGGUUGGGGAUGGACUCGCGGCUUAUCAGCUUGUUGGUGGGGUAGUGGCUUACCAAGGCUUUGACGGGUAGCCGGCCUGAGAGGGUGACCGGCCAAAUUGGGACUGAGAUACGGCCCAGACUACUACGGGAGGCAGCAGAGGGGAAUAUAGCACAAUGGGCGGAAGGCUGAUGCAGCAACGCCGCGUGCGGGAUGACGGCAUUCGGGUUGUAAACCGCUUUCGCCUGUGACGAAGCGUGAGUGACGGUAAUGGGUAAAGAAGCACCGGCUAACUACGUG